rnacentral:lncRNA from 1 species
GUAUCCACGCAAUUCAUCCAUUUAUUCCUCAAGCAUGUGUUAAGCGUUUGGCGAUGCUUCACGAUGUUGGACUCUGGACAUUCACAGAAGAUGAACACAUCUCACAAAAGGAGCAUGUGACAGCCUGCAUGACCGGAGCCAAUGGUGAAUGUUUAAAUUCUGGGUCCCGAAGCAAUAUCUUGGGAAGGGCCUUCCUCUGUCCCACAGCUUCUAAAAAUGUUCUGUGCUUAUAGUAUUGGCUCAGUUUUGUGGAUGUGUUUCUGGGAUUAUUCAGUGACCUCAGACAGGCUGCUCCAAGUCUCCCUGGACCACCUGCGUAGUUCAGCCAUAUUCUACAGUGAGCACUUAGAACAGGACAUGCAGGGGCUACACAGGCAUCAAGGCUGGCUGAUUCCACAGAGCAAGAAUGUCAACAAGGAUCCAGCUUAUUUUUGCCUCUUCACCCCACCAUCUUUUAUGUCAGCCUCGUCCUCAGGGAAGUAGGAUGCAACAGUUCCAGCUGGACACGACAAUACUCACAGGAAGACGAAAGAGACUCUUAUUGCUGCUGUAUCGUGGGAACCUUGUCCCCGAUGCCCAUCAGGGUCAACUAUUUACAUGGGAAGGAAAAACAUACCCCGCAACUACAACCUGAUGUCAGUACCAAGAGCAGUAUGCAAACGACUAUUACGGGCGCUCAGAAGCAUCACAAUGGAAGGGAAGUUGCAGCUGCCUAUACCCACACCCACAUCUUGUCUACCUGCCUGCUGCGUCACAGCCUGGCUGCAUUACUGGGCUCACUUCAGUUCCAAGAAAGCUUCCAGAAAUCAUGGCAGGCACACCUGCAGUGAGCAGAUCUGUGUCUACUUGUCCUUUAAGUGGACACCACUUUUCUGUUCAGAGCACAGAUCAAUGUGUCAGACAGAGCUCUUGGAUGACAAUAUUGUCCUGGCAGGGAUCCAGAGCGGCUGGGGAUAGAGAAUAUUAAAUGGGUCUGGUGCAGAACAGUUGAGGUGUGACUGGAUGUGACAGAGGACAGCACCUCUUUGACAAUGACAUUAUGUGAGUUUGGGUGGGCUCUCAGCUCAGGUUUCAGAUGGCCAGGCAUCUGUUGCUGGCCGCCAUUCUGUUGACAUUUUACAUUUUGUGACCAUAAAUUAACUUUGGAAGAAGUUGAUAGACAAGUAGGUCAUUAUUUGGGUGUUCCUGUGUUUCUCAUAACAUUUUAAAUUCAGUCAGGGCAGAAAAUAUAUAUGUCUUUCCUUUAUACCAUUACCCUAAUCCCUGGCACAUGGUGGGUUUCCUCUUGACUUUAGUGGAACGUGCCUGGACCUUAACAAUCCCAACACCCCACCUUCCCCGCAACCCUGUCUUCUUCCCCAUCUCUCCAGCUGGCUUCCUGCCUUGUUUUCUCCUCACAUAGAUUUAACAGAUGCUCUGAGCCCCGCAGUGCACUUCAGUUCUAUUCUCUGCACUCGCCAUGGCACUUGGCACCAUUAACUGCAGCUCUCUCUGCCUUGACAUCUGCACCCCACUCUCCCCUGUGUGUUUUUUCUUUGGGGGUUUCUUAUCAGGCGCCUCUUCUUUAAAUGCUUGUUUUCCUUUGAGCCCUGUCCAAAGCUCUAGGUUCCAUUUUCCACUUUCUACGUUCUAUCUGGUCCUUCAUUCAAAUUUACAGCUCACAUCUCUGCUUUUGCCUCUAGCCCAGAUCUCUCUCUCUCUCUCUCUCUCUCUCUCUCUCUCUGUCUUUCAAACCUUACACAACUUGAGACAUCUUCACUCACAUAUCCUGCAGGUACACCGAACUCAACAUGGUCAAUACAGGAGACAGUCUCUCACCCCAAAAUGGAAUUUCUCUCUUUUUAAAGGAAACCAGCAUUCAUAAGCCAGAAGCCAAUCUGGAUUUUGUCUGGAAACUCAAGUAUAAGACCUAGCACCACUUGCCAAGGACCUCUGCUUUGCUUUGGUAGGCCAAGGGUCUGGCUCUGUUACCCAGGCUGGAUUGCAGUGGUGCAAUCUCGGCUCCUGUAACCUUCACCUCCUGUAACCUUCACCUCCUGGGCUCAACCCAUCCUCUGGCCUCAGCCUCCUGAGGAACUGGGACUUACAGGUGUGCCACCACACACAGCAAUUUUUUUUUUUUUUGUAUUUUUGGUAGAGAUGGGGUUUCAUCAUGUUGGUCAGGCUGGUCUCUAACUCCUGGGCUCAAGUGAUCUGCCCAUCUCAGCCUCCCAAAGUGCUGGGAUUAUAGGCGUGAGCCACCGCACCAAGCCCUACUUUGUAUUUUGAAUAGAAGCAACAGCAGUGAUGGGAUUCGUACUCCAAACCUCAGCGUCACACAACAUUCCCAUGCAGCAAAUCUGC